CAGAACUGCCAGGCUAAGACCUUGGCAAAGACUCGACAGGAAACUGAACUCUAUUUGCAUAUCCUUUUAUACAUGGGAGAUUAAAAGCUUCAACCUUGAGUGAUCACAGUUUUUGAGAAUCACGAUGAGGCAUUAAAGAGAAGGAGGAGUGUCCCAAGGGAGGUGAGCUGGAGGCGAUGCAAGCAGGCUGCUAGCCCUCCUUAGCAGGUGGAAGUUUCCUCAGAUCGCAAAGAGCCUCCUUCCAGAGUGUGAAUUGGCACAGAUACCCUUCACCAUUUUCUCCUAUGAGAACAAGCAUUUCUGGCAAGACAGUAGCUCUGAUUUCUUGGCUUUUUUCCCCUUAGUUCUCCUGGAUCAGGUCCUUAUGAAUCUUAAUGGAAGAUGUCAGAGAACUGCAAGAAGAUAUUUAUUGUCGGGACCAUUUAGGGGAACUUGAUUUUCUUGGUCAAGUACUACAGUGAAAACUAACCCAUGUAGACAGCAUGGGCUGCAUGAGGAUGGACAAAUGUCACCUUCCACAGGUCUGGAGGCAUUAAGUUGGAAGGAAGAAGACCAGGAAAAUUGAAAGGAACAAAGCAAAGAAGUGAUGUUUCAAAUGAGAAUGAGAGAGUCAUUCCAAGUGUGAUCAAGGUGGAGGUGUAGAUCUAGGAGGGAGAAAGCCAAUUAG